AUCUGCAACUCAAGCCUAACAUUUUUGUUUGGGAGGAGUUGGAUUUGAAUUCGUUGUUGUGCUGCCUGGGAGGGGAAUCGGUCAGCCUUCUGCUACCAACAAAACCUUGGGAGAGGACCGCCCACCGGUCGCCAUGCCAUGUAAGCACCUAAAUGGUGGGAUUUCUUCUUCCACACAUUCUAGACUCUCGAGGAUAAGGUUUCACGCUUACCACCACACUGAACUUAAGCAACUGAUCUCCUCUCUUUGGUAAAAGAGAGGGAUGGUGAGGUCUCUCAUGGCGGCAAAGACUGAUCCACUACCUCCUUAAAAGCGGAGCCUCUCAUGCAUGCCUUGUGAAGGCCAUGUGACUAAACAAAGACUUAUCACUCUAAUGAUAUGGCCGAAGAAGAUCUUCAAGAGCUAAAGAUGAGUUCAAUGGGGAUAAUUAUGGUAGCCAUUUCCAUAUCCCUUGCAUGGCUGACACCCUCCUGUCACUCAGCUUUUUCAGAUGGUGUACCAUUUGUGUUUUUUGACAACAACUCUCUGGUACGAAAGAGAGAUUGGAAUCUUAUGGAUGUACUAGUGUUACUGUAGUUUUGUGUUGUCAUCAUCUGGGAGAGGAGCAAAUUGGAUCUUUGAGGUGGUGGGUCCA